UACGUAGGUGACCAGCGUUGUCCGGAUUUACUGGGCGUAAAGAGCGCGCAGGCGGUCGUUCAAGUCGAGUGUGAAAGCCCCCGGCUCAACUGGGGAGGGUCACUCGAUACUGAUCGACUUGAAGGCAGGAGGGGGAAGCGGAAUUCCCGGUGUAGUGGUGAAAUGCGUAGAUAUCGGGAGGAACACCAGUGGCGAAGGCGGCUUCCUGGCCUGUUCUUGACGCUGAGGCGCGAAAGCUAGGGGAGCAAACGGG
rnacentral:rRNA from 1 species